rnacentral:tRNA from 1 species
CAAAUUAAAGCUAUAUAAGUUUUUUAUUUACACUAAAAAGAAUAUUGUUAAAUCAAUAUAAUUUGA